UUUGAUCUGCUUGUGUGUGGGCUAUAUCAAAAUCAAGAUGAAUUUUAAAGUUCACAUCACUGUGCUCUUUUUUUGCUUCUCUGCUUUUGCUGGUAAGUCUCCAUAUAUUUUCUUUCCUGUUUACUGUAUUGCCAGGGAGUAUAUUUUUCAUUUGCUUAAAAACACUGGACCAAAACUCUCAAACUUGGAUGUUGGCGUUAGCUACCUAUAUCUACAGCUGAGCAACUAAAUGAAAGUGAUCUGAUAUUUUGGGGGUGCUGCAGACUCACUUAUCUUCUUGAUUUCCAUGGAGUUACUCCUGGUAAGGAAGGCACAGGAAGAUAUGAAGGACUAAAUAGAACUGGACAAUUACCAAGCUAUCCUGUUUGUGUUCAUUACAUCCUCAAACCGAUGUGUAUUUUGUAUUAUCACCCUGUCUGUGGCAGUGAUGGGAGAACCUACCGGAAUAAGUGUGAGCUCUGCAGUUACUGCAGGGAACACGACAAGACUAUAAAGAUUGUAAAGGAAGGAUCAUGUUAAAGAUUGAAGAUACCACCAUCUGUCUUGUCUUGCACACCCUGGAAUCCUUAAGGCUUAUUAAUAUGUAAUCCUGCCGUGGUGCCAAGGGGCCGACUAGAUUUCCUUUCGAGGUUCCUACAUUCUUAUGACCAUGUUAAUAUUGUA